rnacentral:rRNA from 1 species
AACGCGAAGAACCUUACCUGGGCUUGAACUGCACUUGACAAAGGUAGAAACAUCCCUUUUCGCAAGAACUGCUGUGGAGGUGCUGCAUGGCUGUCGUCAGCUCGUGUCGUGAGAUGUUGGGUUAAGUCCCGCAACGAGCGCAACCCUUAUCGUUAGUUGCCAUCAGGUCAAGCUGGGCACUCUAGCGAAACCGCCCCGGAUAACGGGGAGGAAGGUGGGGAUGACGUCAAGUCCUCAUGGCCUUUAUGUCCAGGGCUACACACGUGCUACAAUGGUCGGUACAAACCGUCGCAAACCUGCGAAGGGGAGCUAAUCGGAAAAAGCCGGCCUCAGUUCGGAUUGGAGUCUGCAACUCGACUCCAUGAAGCUGGAAUCGCUAGUAAUCGCGGAUCAGCACGCCGCGGUGAAUACGUUCCCGGGCCUUGUACACACCGGAGUA